CAGCAGUGAGGAAUAUUGGUCAAUGGACGAGAGUCUGAACCAGCCAAGUAGCGUGAAGGAUGAAGGUCCUACGGAUUGUAAACUUCUUUUAUAAGGGAAUAAACCCUCCCACGUGUGGGAGCUUGUAUGUACCUUAUGAAUAAGCAUCGGCUAACUCCGUGCCAGCAGCCGCGGUAAUACGGAGGAUGCGAGCGUUAUCCGGAUUUAUUGGGUUUAAAGGGAGCGCAGACGGGUCGUUAAGUCAGCUGUGAAAGUUUGGGGCUCAACCUUAAAAUUGCAGUUGAUACUGGCGUCCUUGAGUGCGGUUGAGGUGUGCGGAAUUCGUGGUGUAGCGGUGAAAUGCUUAGAUAUCACGAAGAACUCCGAUUGCGAAGGCAGCACACUAAUCCGUAACUGACGUUCAUGCUCGAAAGUGUGGGUAUCAAACAGGAUUAGAUACCCUGGUAGUCCACACGGUAAACGAUGGAUACUCGCUGUUGGCGAUAUACUGUCAGCGGCUUAGCGAAAGCGUUAAGUAUCCCACCUGGGGAGUACGCCGGCAACGGUGAAACUCAAAGGAAUUGACGGGGGCCCGCACAAGCGGAGGAACAUGUGGUUUAAUUCGAUGAUACGCGAGGAACCUUACCCGGGCUUAAAUUGCAAAUGAAUGUUCUGGAAACAGAUCAGCCGCAAGGCAUUUGUGAAGGUGCUGCAUGGUUGUCGUCAGCUCGUGCCGUGAGGUGUCGGCUUAAGUGCCAUAACGAGCGCAACCCUCGCCGCCAGUUACUAACAGUUAAAGCUGAGGACUCUGGCGGGACUGCCAUCGUAAGAUGUGAGGAAGGUGGGGAUGACGUCAAAUCAGCACGGCCCUUACGUCCGGGGCUACACACGUGUUACAAUGGGCGGUACAGAAGGCAGCUACCUGGCGACAGGAUGCCAAUCCCUAAAGCCGCUCUCAGUUCGGACUGGAGUCUGCAACCCGACUCCACGAAGCUGGAUUCGCUAGUAAUCGCGCAUCAGCCACGGCGCGGUGAAUACGUUCCCGGGCCUUGUACACACCGCCCGUCAAGCCAUGAAAGCCGGGGGUACCUGAAGUGCGUAACCGCAAGGAGCGCCCUAGGGUAAAACCGGUAAUUGGGGCUAAGUCGUAACAAGGUAGCCGUACCGGAAGGUGCGGCUG
rnacentral:rRNA from 1 species